rnacentral:lncRNA from 1 species
AAGAUGUGUGGGAUAAUGGAAGCAGAAAAAGCGAUGUUGGUGAGGUUCAAUCCGAAUACGGAUUUACAUUGUAUAAGCAGUAAAUACGAUCUUAGAUUGAGCCGCGCCAAUAUCACUACUUGAUGACUUUCCACCUCAUCCCACCUCAUCAGAUUCUCGUGUCAGAAUAUUCUCAUUCAUUGAUCUUAUCAUAACAAACAUUUCCCUCUCAGCACGAUCUGGAAUUUAAGCAAGUUGGUGUAACGUGCGUGCAAACUCAUUCAAGUUCAGGUGCAAUUGGAAUUAUAAUACACGUAAGUACAAUGUUCUUCUCUCUCUGUAGGUGCUAGUUUAUUUAUCUGGCUAGAUUCUGAGUAUUAUGAAAGUAUGGGGUAUGUGUUUGUCGUGAUUUCUUAUCAUUGAAACUAAUUUCAAGGUAAUCAGGCACAAAAUAUGGGGCUAAAACGUUAAAUGGGAGAACUGGAGAAGUGAUAAUUAAUGUACUGAAGCUUUUUCUUUCAUCAAUUUGUGAUAAUAUUAGGUCAAUCAUAUAACCUAGCUAUUUGGUCCAAUUGAAUCUCAAUAUGCUUGCUGGGAUAUAACAUCAUGUAUUUUGGUCUUAAACUAUGUCUCAUCCUGAUUUGAUGAGUACCCAUGCCUGUUAAGAAAUUGUCCACUGAAUCUUGUAGCUAGCACUAUCUUGGAUUUGCACAGGCUGGCAUAAUAAACGAAGAGAAAAAGGUUUUCGUCGCCACCUAUGUAACCACUAAGAUUGCAUUAUUGCUGGUUUUCUUCCUUUUACUUUUCUUGAUUUACUACCACAAUGUAGUGUUGUUUACCGGCUUUAUUUGUUGGAGGAUGUGAAUUGGAUUUACAAGAUGAAUAAGAUUUCUUACAUAUAUAUUCAGAUGGAGUUAGGAUCCAUUGAAACAAAAAUAACUAAAGUGUGUAAAUUUUGUUGACACAAUUAGCAAAUGGAAAUUUUCUUUCCAUUUUGAAGGUUGGGUCUCUAUAAAUCAACAAAUCAACAUAUCAUUGAUCUUCCUUCUAGCUCAGACAGAUUUUAAACAAUCACAAAUAAUUUAAACAUGAAAUCUCCAUCACCACACGAUGACGACGACAACAACAUGAAAUGAGGCUUCAACCUUCACUAGUAGUGAAGGGAGAAGCCCUCACGCUAUUCGAUUGUUGAGAUAAAUGAAAGUAAUAAGACAAGUGGUGAGUGUAGUAAGUGUGAAAUAAUGUAUUAUUAAAGUUUUAGUUCAAGAUAUAUAGUGUUUCGCUUAUGUCUCCCUUCUCUUUUCAUAUCUCGAUAACAUCCCUCACGAUUGAAGGCUCAAUAGUAUGAUCCAACAACAAGAUCUUCAAGGCUGUUAAGAUCCUGCAGUGAGUCAUCCAUGUUCUUGUGAAGCUAUUCCGAGCGAGGAUCCACGAAACAAGACUUGUUCCCCACUUGGGCGUUUGUUGUCCAUUCAUCUACAUCAUGUUAAAAUCUCAACUAACACAACUCCAAAUCUAUACACAUCACUUUUAGGUGUGAUAAAAGGAUAGAAUUAUUAUUAGUUAUCAUUCCAAAUUAAUAAGAGAACAUAUUUAAUAUAUCUAGUGACAACCAAGUAGGUCACCUAUGUUGAAGUAUAAUUAAAAAGUUCAAAAUAUAACAAGAGUUAAUCUUUUAUUAUUUCAUCAUGUCUUUAUGAUGAAGUUUUCUUUAUCUUUACUAUAUAUAAAAAAACUUGUAACUAUAUAUGGCAAAACGGACAUUGCUCGCGGGCGCGCUCGUAUAACCCACAUUUUUUUGUCGGCAGGACAUACAAUUUUUGUCCACUUGCCCGUUUUAAAGCGGCAGGACACUGAGUUUUGUCCCUUAAGCCAAUGCGGGUAUGUCCGCGCCCACUUAAUUUUUUGCGGACACGGACUAAACAGACUGGGCGACCUGUUUUGCCAUCUCUACUUGUAACACUAUAUUCCAUCCUUAAUUGAAAUUGAAUGUUAUUUUGUGAGAGUGAAUAAAUAGUGUAAUUAUAUUUUAGAGUCAUUUUUGAACUAAAUCUCAUUAUUAUUAUUUCUUGAUUUCAGAGAAACUGGUUCUGAGACAUACAUCAUACAAUUGGUUAGCACUCAAAGGCUAAUGGCUUCAAAGCCAUAUAUUAUGGUGCCUGCCGGGUACAAGAGUUCGGGUUAAAAUCAUUGGAAACUAAACAUAUUUCAGCAUGUCUAAACUUUCUUUAUAUUAUGUGCAAGCUUUUUAUUUGAAUGUAAAUAUUUAUAUUUAAUGUUCCGAAAUAAAGGGUGCUGUGAAACGAAAACAUUGGUGGGGCAAAAGAGAUCCUUCGCUUUUGGGUUCCGUUGUUUUUGUUCAUUUUGGAUUACCAGCUUUUCUUAUCUUUGCCUAAUCCAUACACGUGUGAGCUUGAUUUGGUCCAGGCCCAAUUCCUUUUCUUAUCUAAAGGGACACUGUUGGUUUAAUGAUAACCAUAGGGAUUAAGUAACAAAUACUAUGAUGAGCAAACUAAAAAGCUCAUUGCAGAUGGGGUUGCUUGUUUCUUUUUCUACUCGUCCAAUGUUUAAAGGGCAUCUACAAAAGCAAAAGUGUAAAAUGUAUACCCU